GAGUUUGAUUCAUGGCUCAGGAUGAACGCUGGCGGCGUGCCUAACACAUGCAAGUCGAGCGGCAGCGAGGGGUGCUUGCACCCUGUCGGCGAGCGGCGGACGGCUGAGUAACGCGUGGGAACGUGCCCCAAAGUGAGGAAUAACUGCCCGAAAGGGUAGCUAAUACCGCAUAUUAUCUUCGGAUUCAAAGGAUUUAUCCGCUUUGGGAGCGGCCCGCGUCGGAUUAGGUAGUUGGUGAGGUAAUGGCUCACCAAGCCGACGAUCCGUAGCUGGUCUGAGAGGAUGACCAGCCAGACUGGAACUGAGACACGGUCCAGACUCCUACGGGAGGCAGCAGUGAGGAAUCUUCCACAAUGGGCGAAAGCCUGAUGGAGCAACGCCGCGUGCAGGACGAAGGCCUUCGGGUUGUAAACUGCUUUUAUAAGUGAGGAAUAUGACGGUAACUUAUGAAUAAGGAUCGGCUAACUACGUGCCAGCAGCCGCGGUCAUACGUAGGAUCCGAGCGUUAUCCGGAGUGACUGGGCGUAAAGAGUUGCGUAGGCGGUUGUAUAAGUGAAUAGUGAAAUCUGGUGGCUCAACCAUACAGGCUAUUAUUCAAACUGUACAACUCGAGAGUGGUAGAGGUCACUGGAAUUUCUUGUGUAGGAGUGAAAUCCGUAGAUAUAAGAAGGAACACCGAUGGCGUAGGCAGGUGACUGGACCAUUUCUGACGCUAAGGCACGAAAGCGUGGGGAGCGAACCGGAUUAGAUACCCGGGUAGUCCACGCCGUAAACGAUGGAUACUGGCUGUUGGAGGUAUCGACCCCUUCAGUAGCGAAGCUAACGCGUUAAGUAUCCCGCCUGUGUAGUACGGCCGCAAGGCUAAAACAUAAAGGAAUUGACGGGGACCCGCACAAGCGGUGGAUCGUGUUCUUUAAUUCGAUGCUAAACGAAGAACCUUACCAGGGCUUGACAUCCAGGGAAUUUUUGGGAAACCAAUUAGUGCCGUUUGGAACCCUGUGACAGGUGAUGCAUGGCCGUCGUCAGCUCGUGUCGUGAGAUGUUUGGUUAAGUCCAUCAACGAGCGCAACCCUUGUGUCUAGUUGUAUUUUUCUAGACAGACUGCUUCGGUAACGGAGAGGAAGGAGGGGAUGAUGUCAGGUCAGUAUUUCCCUUACGUCCUGGGCUAGAAACACGAUACAAUGGCUAGUACAAUGCGCAGCGAAGCCGCGAGGUGAAGCAAAUCGCAUCAAAGUUAGUCCCAGUUCGGAUUGGAGGCUGAAACUCGCCUCCAUGAAGUCGGAAUCGCUAGUAAUCGCAAAUCAGCAAGUUGCGAUGAAUACGUUCCCGGGUCUUGUACACACCGCCCGUC
rnacentral:rRNA from 1 species